CUGGAGCAAGAAGAUCCCAUGCUGUGACCCUCCAAAGGGAAGCGCUUUCUGUUUGUUUUCUCUCAAACAAAGUGCCUCCCUUUAGAGUGUUACCGUUUGGGAAAAGCCACGUUGAAG